AGGAGGUCCCGCCUGCCCUGUGACCAAAAGUUUAACGGCCGCGGUAUUUUAACCGUGCAAAGGUAGCGCAAUCAAUUGUCUUUUAAAUGGAGACCUGUAUGAAUGGCAUAACGAGGGUUUAACUGUCUCUUUUUUCUGGUCAAUGAAACUGAUCUACCCGUGCAGAAGCGGGUAUACCCACACAAGACGAGAAGACCCUAUGGAGCUUUAGACGCCCACCAACCGUGAAGAGCAGCCUGCCUAACAGGCCCCCAAACUACAUGGCCCUGGUAUAAACGUCUUCGGUUGGGGCGACCACGGGGGAAAGCAAAGCCCCCGAGAGGAUUGGGGGAAACCCUAAAACCAAGAGCCACAGCUCUAAGUCACAAAAUAUUUGACCGACAAUGAUCCGGCUUUUGCCGAUCAACGGACCAAGUUACCCUAGGGAUAACAGCGCAAUCCCCUCCCAGAGUCCAUAUCGACGAGGGGGUUUACGACCUCGAUGUUGGAUCAGGACAUCCUAAUGGUGCAGCCGCUAUUAAGGGUUCGUUUGUUCAACGAUUAAAGUCCU
rnacentral:rRNA from 1 species